rnacentral:misc_RNA from 1 species
AUGAUGAGCAUGAUCACAGAUAUGGUUAUGACAACAGGGCAACCAGAGGUUUUUUGAGAGGUCAAGGUUACUACAGAGGAGGGUACCGUGAUUAUAGAUAAUCUAGUGUAUAUAUAUAUACAUGUAACUAGUGUAUAGUUAAUUUGGAAACAACUAUUCACAAUUUUUUUUCUAACUCCCAAAACCAAGAGCUGGUCUUUUUGAAAUUUAAAAAUUGGUAAUUUUGAGAGGUGCUGUUAUUUGGAUUUCUUUUUCUUUAAGUUAAAUCUCAUUUUUUAUGUUAUAUAUGAAAAUAUGAUAAUUUCUCUGUGUAAAACAUAAAAAACCCAAAAAUAUUUGAUACUAUUGUAUCAGAGGAUUUUUUUGUUGAUAAAAAAGUGUCAUUCUCUAAAGAUUAAAAAAAAACUCUUGUAAAUAUUGUGACAGAGGGUUUGCAGCUAAAAAAAAAUGAAUGACUGAUUUUAUAUGAUUACAGGAUUUUCUAUCAUCUGUUUUAUAAUGAAUUACCCUUGUUGAAAGGGGUUUUGGAUUCAUGUAUAUAUGCCAUUUUAUAAAAAAAAAUUCAAUUUCUGAUGUACAUUAUUUCAUAUACAUUGUUUAAAUCAUGUAUAUAACAUGUUUAUUACAUUUGUAAGCAGCUUUUAUCACAUAAUUUUGGAUUUUUUUUUUUCGAAAUUUGUUUAUAGAAUAUUUUCUAAAAGAAACCUGUUUUAAUUGUCUGCAUACAUUGGAUAACUGAAUUUCAGUAAAAACACAAUUAAAAUCAGUUAUUAAAGAU